rnacentral:rRNA from 1 species
AUCGACGAGUUUGAUCAUGGCUCAGGAUGAACGCUAGCGGCAGGCUUAAUACAUGCAAGUCAAGGGGGUAGCAAUACAACCGGCGCACGGGUGAGUAACACGUACACAACAUACCAUAUACUGAGGUAUAGCGUUCGGGAAACUGAAGGUAAUCCCUCAUAGUAUUGUGAAAGGGCAUCUUUUACAAUUAAAGUUUCGACGGUAUAUGAUUGGUGUGCGUUUGAUUAGUUAGUUGGUAGGGUAACGGCCUACCAAGGCAACGAUCAAUAGCUGGCGUGAGAGCGCGACCAGCCACACUGGAACUGAGACACGGUCCAGACUCCUACGGGAGGCAGCAGUAGGGAAUAUUGGACAAUGGGCGAAAGCCUGAUCCAGCCAUGCCGCGUGAUAGAUGAAGGCCCUCUGGGUUGUAAAUAUCUUUUAUCUGGGAAGAAACACUUCUAUUCUUAGAAGCUUGACGGUACCAGAGGAAUAAGCACCGGCUAACUCCGUG